rnacentral:rRNA from 1 species
AUCCUAUUAUGUGCCCGGUGACUGUUUGUUCGGUUUUAGGUUGGGGUGACCGCGGAGUAUAAGAUAUCCUCCAUGAAAAAAAGCUAACUGCCCUUAUUAGAGAAAGACACUUCCAAAAAAUAAUAAAUUAAUUUUAAAUGAUCCGACAUUCGAUCAACGAACCAAGUUACCCUGGGGAUAACAGCGCAAUCCGUCCCGAGAGCCCCUAUCGACAGGCGGGUUUACGACCUCGAUGUUGGAUCAGGGUAUCCUAGUGGUGCAGCAGCUACUAAAGGUUCGUUUGUUCAACGAUUAAAACCCU